rnacentral:rRNA from 1 species
GGGUCAGUAGGUUGGUCGUGCCACCGGUACGUACUGGUCUCACUGAUUCCUCCUUCCUGAAGAACCGUAAUGCCAUUAAUUUGGUGUUGCGGAGAAACAGGACUGUUACUUUGAAAAAAUUAGAGUGUUUAAAGCAAGCUAACGCUUGAAUACAUUAGCAUGGAAUAAUGAAAUAGGACGAUCGAUCCUAUUUUGUUGGUUUCUUGGAUUGACGUA